GGGGUUGUAUCUCAGUGGUAGAGCGCUCGCCUAGCAUGUGUGAGGCACUGGGUUCGAUCUUCAGCACCACA
rnacentral:tRNA from 1 species